rnacentral:rRNA from 1 species
GGCGGCGUGCUUAACACAUGCAAGUCGAACGAAGAGCGAUGGAAGCUUGCUUCUAUCAAUCUUAGUGGCGAACGGGUGAGUAACGCGUAAUCAACCUGCCCUUCAGAGGGGGACAACAGUUGGAAACGACUGCUAAUACCGCAUACGAUCUAAUCUCGGCAUCGAGGAAAGAUGAAAGGUGGCCUCUAUUUAUAAGCUAUCACUGAAGGAGGGGAUUGCGUCUGAUUAGCUAGUUGGAGGGGUAACGGCCCACCAAGGCGAUGAUCAGUAGCCGGUCUGAGAGGAUGAACGGCCACAUUGGGACUGAGACACGGCCCAGACUCCUACGGGAGGCAGCAGUGGGGAAUCUUCCGCAAUGGACGAAAGUCUGACGGAGCAACGCCGCGUGAGUGAUGACGGCCUUCGGGUUGUAAAGCUCUGUUAAUCGGGACGAAAGGCCUUCUUGCGAACAGUUAGAAGGAUUGACGUACCGGAAUAGAAGCC